UGUGGCUGGGGGUGAAAGGCCAAUCAAACCGGGAGAUAGCUGGUUCUCCCCGAAAGCUAUUUAGGUAGCGCCUCGUGAAUUCAUCUCCGGGGGUAGAGCACUGUUUCGGCUAGGGGGCCAUCCCGGCUUACCAACCCGAUGCAAACUGCGAAUACCGGAGAAUGUUAUCACGGGAGACACACGGCGGGUGCUAACGUCCGUCGUGAAGAGGGAAACAACCCAGACCGCCAGCUAAGGUCCCAAAGUCAUGGUUAAGUGGGAAACGAUGUGGGAAGGCCCAGACAGCCAGGAUGUUGGCUUAGAAGCAGCCAUCAUUUAAAGAAAGCGUAAUAGCUCACUGGUCGAGUCGGCCUGCGCGGAAGAUGUAACGGGGCUAAACCAUGCACCGAAGCUGCGGCAGCGACACUCAGGUGUUGUUGGGUAGGGGAGCGUUCUGUAAGCC
rnacentral:rRNA from 1 species